rnacentral:rRNA from 1 species
GUGGGGAAUUUUGGACAAUGGGGGCAACCCUGAUCCAGCAAUGCCGCGUGCAGGAAGAAGGCCUUCGGGUUGUAAACUGCUUUUGUACGGAACGAAAAGGCUCUGGUUAAUACCUGGGGCACAUGACGGUACCGUAAGAAUAAGCACCGGCUAACUACGUGCCAGCAGCCGCGGUAAUACGUAGGGUGCAAGCGUUAAUCGGACUUACUGGGCGUAAAGCGUGCGCAGGCGGUGCUGUAAGACAGGCGUGAAAUCCCCGGGCUUAACCUGGGAAUGGCGCUUGUGACUGCAGUGCUGGAGUGUGGCAGAGGGGGAUGGAAUUCCGCGUGUAGCAGUGAAAUGCGUAGAUAUGCGGAAGAACACCGAUGGCGAAGGCAAUCCCCUGGGCCUGCACUGACGCUCAUGCACGAAAGCGUGGGGAGCAAACAGGAUUAGAAACCCGAGUAGUCC